rnacentral:rRNA from 1 species
AGUGAACGCUGGCGGUAGGCCUAACACAUGCAAGUCGAACGGCAGCACAGUAAGAGCUUGCUCUUACGGGUGGCGAGUGGCGGACGGGUGAGGAAUACAUCGGAAUCUACUUUUUCGUGGGGGAUGACGUAGGGAAACUUACGCUAAUACCGCAUACGACCUACGGGUGAAAGCAGGGGAUCUUCGGACCUUGCGCGAUUGAAUGAGCCGAUGUCGGAUUAGCUAGUUGGCGGGGUAAAGGCCCACCAAGGCGACGGUCCGUAGCUGGUCUGAGAGGAUGAUCAGCCACACUGGAACUGAGACACGGUCCAGACUCCUACGGGAGGCAGCAGUGGGGAAUAUUGGACAAUGGGCGCAAGCCUGAUCCAGCCAUACCGCGUGGGUGAAGAAGGCCUUCGGGUUGUAAAGCCCUUUUGUUGGGAAAGAAAAGCAGCAGGUUAAUACCCCGCUGUUCUGACGGUACCCAAAGAAUAAGCACCGGCUAACUUCGUG